GUGUCAGCAGCCGCGGUAAUACGGGGGGGGCAAGCGUUGUUCGGAAUUACUGGGCGUAAAGGGCUCGUAGGCGGCCAACUAAGUCAGACGUGAAAUCCCUCGGCUUAACCGGGGAACUGCGUCUGAUACUGGAUGGCUUGAGGUUGGGAGAGGGAUGCGGAAUUCCAGGUGUAGCGGUGAAAUGCGUAGAUAUCUGGAGGAACACCGGUGGCGAAGGCGGCAUCCUGGACCAAUUCUGACGCUGAGGAGCGAAAGCCAGGGGAGCAAACGGGAUUAGAUACCCCCGUAGUCC
rnacentral:rRNA from 1 species